rnacentral:ncRNA from 2 species
GGCACUCAACAGCGCGAUGGUUUCCUGGAGGUUAUCCCAGGGAUGAAAAGGGAAUACGGUGCGGCCCAACCUUCGGCGCCAAAUCCGUGACUGCCCCCGCAACUGUAAGCGCAGAGCGACGCCAGUGACCCACUGACCCAAACGGUCGGGAAGGAUGGCCAAGCAUCGACCCGCAAGUCAGGAGACCUGCCAUCUUAUGUUCAACCAA